rnacentral:rRNA from 1 species
UACAGAGGUCUCAAGCGUUGUUCGGAUUCAUGGGGCGUAAAGGGUGCGUAGGUGGCGUCGUAAGUCAGGUGUGAAAUCUCGGAGCUUAACUCCGAAACUGCAUUUGAUACUGCGGUGCUUGAGGACUGGAGAGGAGACUGGAAUUUACGGUGUAGCAGUGAAAUGCGUAGAGAUCGUAAGGAAGACCAGUGGCGAAGGCGGGUCUCUGGGCCGAUACUGACGCUGAGGAGCGAAAGCGUGGGGAGCGAACAGG